GCUAAAACUGGGUGCCAAGUCUUAGUUUCUCCCAGUCUGUCUGAAUGUUUUGGAACAUGAAUUGAGCAAAAGCUGCUGUUGAAGAUGUUCUCUAUGGGACGCUGGUUUGAUGAUCUGCCCUCUGCAGAUCAGGCCUCCAUCAUGGACAUGUACUUCUACAGAUCACCCAACUAGAGUGUGAGAUCACUGCUCUGAAGGAUGUGAAGGAUCGGCUGGACAAACAGAGAACCGUUCUUGAAGCAGAAGAGCAGCUGGAGCAGAGUCAUCAUCAGCUGGCCACCGUAAGAAAACAUCGCCAAUAUGCAAUACAAGCAGCUGACCUGUACAGAGAGCAACUGGCAUCCUCUCUUACAAGAGAUACUGUUUUUGGGAUGGACCCCUUCUCAACAACAUGACAAGACAAGAGCAGA